rnacentral:misc_RNA from 1 species
GUGAAUCAUCAAAUUUUUGAACGCAAAUUGCACUCUCUGGUAUUCCGGGGAGUAUGCCUGUUUGAGGGUCAGUUUAAAUUAAAAAUCGAGGUGUUGCUUUUUUUUGUGACGCAUCGGAAUUGGGUUAUCUUUGUCCUUUGGAUUUUUUAAGAGACCUAAAAUUGAUACUUUGUGCAUCUCAGACGUACAUAAAGAAUAUUUUUUUUUUUAUCCGUCCGGAGUUGCCAAAUUUUUAUUAGGUAUGAACAUGUUAUUUUGUGGUAUCGUACCUAUAAUAUACUCAUUUUUUGACCUCAAAUCA